rnacentral:snRNA from 1 species
GUGCUUGUUUUGGCAGUACAUAUACUGAACUGAAAAGAUAUAGAGAAGAUAGGCAUGCUCCUGUAGGAGGUUGACACACAUUUCAUAAUAUUCAAAAAAAUAUA